rnacentral:tRNA from 2 species
GCUGGCUUAGCUCAGUGGCAGUAGCGAAUCCUUUACAUUACAUAAGCGGAUUAGGUCACAGGUUCGACCCCUGUAGCUAGCA